AUGUCAACGUUGUUGAGCUGCUAUGAUUAAGAAGAAGCAAGCCCGCAGUGAAGUGCUCACAGCUCAUUCCUGCAAGGCUUUGUCCACGCUAUGCACAGCUCCUCCUGAACCCUGCACCCUGAGAUCCAAGCAGACAACAAUUAGCAAAGCACGUGAGCCUAAACAUUAAUUAUCACAUAGUUUCUGCUCUGAUGGAAGAGACGAAGUGAGCAAUGAGUACGUUUUCAGGCAGGACAAAAAAGAGAGAGCCUGGACGUAAUGGCCCAGCUGGGAGCACACCACUGCUCCUGCGAAGCUCUUCAAGGGCAAGAAGAACGCUGACCCAGCCAUUUCCUGCACUAUUUGCUUCUGCAAGGAAUGCUUAAGGUCUCUGGUCUUUGUGGGCAGGUUUCAUUCACCCCGUGCUCUGCCCACGCUCCAGGCAAACUAGAAAUCAGGAAGCUCCAGGACUGCUGGUUGGCUGGAGACACAGUUGAACUCAUUUUCUUUCGUAUACAAAAAACCAUAUACAUAUAAUCAUGGACAUUCAUACGACUUCCAUUCCUGGGAUGUUUUCCAUGUCAUUGAACUAUUUAUUUGCAUAAAAUUCCUGGGAUAUAAGGCCCAGUUAUCAGAUAUCUGAAGUUAUUAUUGUCUACAUCGUUGUCACAUGAAAAAAUGUCAGUGAAUCAGGACACUAAAUUAAGGUUUCCCUAAAUCUUGACUAGUGCUAUAAUACAAUGUCUCUAGUCCAGGAGGCUUACAGAUAUGACACGAUGAGAAACGGUGAAAACAAGACGAAGUAUAAAGCAGAAGGCGCAGCAGGGAAAUUAGUUUGGGGUAAAUGAACGUACAAUCCAUGUUAUUCAUAGGAGAAGACAAUCCCUCCUAACACUGGUAUCAUUUUGGAUUCAAGCUCAGUGCUGGACAAGGAAGGAUCACCAGCAGAGGGUGAAUAUUUGAAUCUUUCUCCAUGUGGUUUUGGUUAUGUAGGCAUCUUUGCCUCCCAUGGCAGCACCGUCUCCUCUUACAGUGACAGCGGUUUAUGAAUGGUUCCACUUCACAUCUUCCUCACUGCACUGACGCUCUCUUCCUAAGACUGAGCAUCUCUGCCAAAAUGAAGGUGGGAACAGGUUAGAGACAGGAACGUGAGUGUAGGAAAGGAGCACGGGUUGGUAACAUCCAUUCAAAACAUUAAAUACCCACAGCUGCUUCAGAAACCUACCUCCUGUGUUUAUCUAAUUACAAAAAAAUUAAUAUGGUCAUUUCUUCAUUUUCAGCAAAUCAGCAUUUCCUGAAGUAUUGUGAUACUUUCCCUGAGCUCAGCGUAACUCCGCUGGGAUUUUCAUUUACAGACAUGCUGGUAAUAUCUUAUUACAUGUAAGAGUUGUGCUAGGUCAGAUAAAAAUGUGUCUUGCAUUCCUUGCUUGUCCCAGAGCUGCUGCAUGGUCAAUGUUUGAAUGUGCUAAAGACACAAAGUGUUACAAGUCUGAAGUUUUUCUCUCUUUCUUUU
rnacentral:lncRNA from 1 species